rnacentral:rRNA from 1 species
UACGAAGGGUGCAAGCGUUACUCGGAAUUACUGGGCGUAAAGCGUGCGUAGGUGGUUUGUUAAGUCUGUUGUGAAAGCUCCUGGCUUAACCGGGAGUGGUCGGUGGAAACUGCCAGUCUGGAGGACGGUAGAGGUAGGUAGAAUUCCCGGUGUAGUGGUGAAAUGCGUAGAGAUCGGGAGGAAUACCUGUGGCGAAGGCGGCCUACUGGGCCGGACCUGACGCUGAGACGGCGAAAGGCGUGGGGAGCGAACGGGG